UACGUAGGGUGCAAGCGUUGUCCGGAAUUAUUGGGCGUAAAGAGCUCGUAGGCGGCCUGUCGCGUCGGCUGUGAAAACCCGAGGCUCAACCUCGGGCCUGCAGUCGAUACGGGCAGGCUAGAGUUCGGUAGGGGAGACUGGAAUUCCUGGUGUAGCGGUGAAAUGCGCAGAUAUCAGGAGGAACACCGGUGGCGAAGGCGGGUCUCUGGGCCGAUACUGACGCUGAGGAGCGAAAGCGUGGGGAGCGAACAGG
rnacentral:rRNA from 1 species